ensembl:lncRNA
ACACGGAAUCCAUCAAUCAUGCCUCCUGAGGUUCCUCCCACGGGCUCGUGGCUGUUGAUUUCUCUCCCUUCUCCUCUCCUUAGUGGGGGGGGGGCAUUGAUUCCCUGUCGAUUUCCCCACAAUGUAGGGAGCUGAAAAAAAACAUGUGCAAGGAAUUUGUGGAAAAUCCCAAACUACACCAUAUAACUUUGGACAAGGACGUACACCUGACUAGGCAACCUGGUCUCAGGGGACUAUGCAGACUCUUUUACGUAAAUCUUUGACAGCCACAUUCAUGAGAAAUAUUACGUUAGGUAAAGUAACGUUAGUGUAAUAUUCCAGAAAUAAUCAAUAAUCCAUAAGCUUACCUUUUUCGUUUUCUUAUCUUACCCCAAACCUUACCCUAACCUUAACCCCAGUGCUGUGAUAUCUAACCCUAACCUUAACCCCAGUGCUGUGAUACCUAACAUACAUAUCAUAUUAUAUGUUGUAAUAGCGUUUGUAAGAUAUGUUACGUUUUUUAUAAUAAUGUAUUAUACGUUUUGGUAGUGCAUUGUAACGUAACGUAUAUAAAAUCUUGUGCCAUGGAUUUACGAUGGUUCCUGUGUCAGAAUUACCGUGUGAAUCGAUGACAGAAGACGUCUGCAAGACUGCUCAAAAAUGGGAAAGAAAUGGAGGUGGGAUCUGGAAUACAUUAGUUUAUGUUUAAUUAGCUUGAGAAUAAGCAAAUGUGGUGCUACAGCUUCAUGGUAAAAGCAUCUUUCCUGUAUAGGUAGCGAGAUAGUAUCCCCUAGUAUCCCUUAGCUGGCAACUCCAACCAUGUCCAGGAGGGACUGGUUUUUGGAAUGAUGUGAAAGAGGAUUUCAAAAGCAAGAGAUUCACGAAGUAUCCUUGUUGCAUGUUUCUAAGGGCAAAGCUAAGUUGAAUGGCAGUUCAUGGCUGAAUAACGGCAGUUAUGUGAGGCAGUGCAUCUGGUUUCUGCUGCCAUCUGAAAUACUGUGCUGCACUUACAAGACUGGGAUCCGAGGAAGCAUAUCAGUGUGGGUUCCAGAUUCCUCUUCAGUAGACCUCCAUUGGUUUCCCUGCUUUUAGAUAGAUUAAACGCUGAUUAGGUAAAUGUGUGCUUCCCCUGUAAAUCCAUGAGUGUUAUGUACUCUCACCGUACGAGUACACAUAGCUGUAUAUAUCCGUAGUGUUGACUUUGUGUAUUCUGUGUCUACGGUCAAGUCAACUUAUGAAUAUACCAACCUGGUCUCAGAAGGAUUAUGCAGACUAUUUUACGUACAUUUUAGCCAGGGGAUUUCAUAAGAUAUAUUACGUUCAGUAAAAGCUGGAAUGGAGGAAAAAAAACUGAAAGCUGCAUUUCGAACCAGCGACCUUACGCAUCCCAGAUAGGUACACUAUCCACUGCUCCAGCGAGGAACCUGUAACUUGAAAUGCGAGUGGUGGUGUCACAACAUAAAUAUGUUUGAAGUGAUUUUCUUUGUAACCCUAACCCAAACCAUAACCCUAACCUUAACCCCAGUGCUGUGAUGCCUAACCUUAACCCAAACCCUUACCUGAACCCCAGAGCUGUGAGACCAAACCCUAACCAAACCUUAACCUAACCUUUUUUGUUUUCAAACCGUAGCCCAAACCUUAACCCUAACCUUAAAACAAGUGCUGUGAUAUCUAACCUACAUUUUUUUUAUUAUUUAUACGUUUUCAUAGCGUUCGUAAAUAUCAAACGUUUGUCUGGCAUUCGUAUGUUAUUUUACGUUUUAAUAGCGCUCGUAACAUUUGAUACGUUGUAAUACCGUUUGUAAGAUAUGUUACGUUUUAAUAAUUUCGUUAUAUAUCAUACGUUUUGGUGGCGCAUUGUAAUGUAACCUAACGUAACGUCACAUAUCAUACGAGAUCGGGUGCCAUGGAUUUACGUAAAAUAGUCUACGUAGUGUCCUGAGACCAGGUUGCAACAUGCACAUCCUGAUUAACACUUUGAUCACUUGGCCAGUCGCGUCAGUCACAUGAUUUCUGCUUUCUUUGCUUGAUUUUCAUUUAACUUAACAGACCUCCCACCUGAAAGUACCUUUGUCUUCUAGACUUUAAGCUUUUACAUCUUGUUUGUGUAAGAAAACUGACCAAUCACAGUUUACUGGUUUUGUGUGUGACCUAAAUGUGUGACCUAAAUGCAGUUUAAUGGUUGUUUAUCUGUGGCACCUUGAAUCCUGUUCUCUCAACAUUCUGCUGACUUGCCACUUGAGAAAUAAACAAUGAAGAAAUACAUAUAGCCCACCCAUAUCAAUGUUGCCAAAAUGUACUCAGUCUCGG